UACGGGGGGGGCAAGCGUUGUUCGGAAUUACUGGGCGUAAAGGGCUCGUAGGCGGCCAACUAAGUCAUACGUGAAAUCCCUCGGCUUAACCGGGGAACUGCGUCUGAUACUGGAUGGCUUGAGUUCGGGAGAGGGAUGCGGAAUUCCAGGUGUAGCGGUGAAAUGCGUAGAUAUCUGGAGGAAUACCGGUGGCGAAGGCGGCAUCCUGGACCGAGAUUGACACUGAAAAGCGAAAGCCAGGGGAGCAAACGGG
rnacentral:rRNA from 1 species